AUUGCUUCUCAGCCUUUUGGCUAAGAUCAAGUGUAGUAUCAAGUGUAGUAUCUGUUCUUAUCAGUUUAAUAUCUGAUACGUCCUCUAUCCGAGGACAAUAUAUUAAAUGGAUUUUUAGAACCAGGAGUUCGAGGCCAGCCUGUUCUACAAAGGGAGUCCAGGACCACCAAGGCUAC
rnacentral:snRNA from 1 species